rnacentral:rRNA from 1 species
UACGUAGGGUGCAAGCGUUAUCCGGAAUUAUUGGGCGUAAAAGAGCUCGUAGGCGGUUUUGUCGCGUCUGCUGUGAAAACUGGAGGCUCAACCUCCAGCCUGCAGUGGGUACGGGCAAACUAGAGUGCGGUAGGGGGAGAUUGGAAUUCCUGGUGUAGCGGUGAAAUGCGCAGAUAUCAGGAGGAACACCGGUGGCGAAGGCGGGUCUCUGGGCCGAAACUGACGCUGAGGAGCGAAAGCGUGGGGAGCAAACAGG